rnacentral:ribozyme from 1 species
UGCCCCGUUUGGACGUCGCCUCCACGUGGCGGGGGUGGGCAACUGUGCCACAAGGCACAGGCCAAGAACGUC